GCGUAGGCGAUGGACAACAGGUUGAUAUUCCUGUACCACCUCCUCACCGUUUGAGAAAUGGGGGGACGCAGUAGGAUAGGGUAAGCACGCCGUUGGUUGCGCGUGUUCAAGCAGUAAGGCGUGUAUGUAGGCAAAUCCGCAUACUAUAACGUUGAGCUGUGAUGACGAGCUCGUAUGAGCGAAGUUCCUGAUUUCACACUGCCAAGAAAAGCCUCUAUCGAGGUGAGAGGUGCCCGUACCGCAAACCGACACAGGUAGUCGAGGAGAGAAUCCUAAGGUGUGCGAGAGAACUCUCGUUAAGGAACUCGGCAAAAUGACCCCGUAACUUCGGGAGAAGGGGUGCUUCUUUGGGUGCAUAGCCUAGAGAAGCCGCAGUGAAUAGGCCCAGGCGACUGUUUAGCAAAAACACAGGUCUCUGCAAAACCGUAAGGUGACGUAUAGGGGCUGACGCCUGCCCGGUGCUGGAAGGUUAAG
rnacentral:rRNA from 1 species